UGUUUUCAAAUCCUUGAGCAGAUGUUCAGAUGUACUUCUUAAAAUGAGGGUCCUGUUAAGAUGCCAGGAGAACAAUUUUGUAUCUUUUUUUCCCUCUCCCACAAACACAUGCAGCCCCCUUGAAAAUCCCACUGCCUUUCAGUUGAAGGUUGGCGUCAAACCUAAGCCACACCAGCUUAACUGUCUGGCAACAAAAUUUGAAGCUUCAGCUCAGUUUUUGAGUGCAUUGUUUGCAGUUUGAGAACGAUCAGGCCUUUGGUAAUUUAAUUUAUUAGAUUCCCAAAGCUGAAAAGUGACUGUUUUGCUAAUCCUACAAACUACAGCUUAAUUAUCAGCCUCUGGCUUCCUUCUCUACCUGGCAUAAAAGUUAUGGUAUUCUGCUUAGGUAGUGAGAUGAUCAUCUCCCCACAAAGACUCUGUUUGAGUUAUUCUGGGCAGCUCUCAAGAGAGGGGAAAAAUAACAAUAACAGAAGAUUACCUACAGCUUGCAACACUCUAGCUGGGGAAAGAAUUGCAGUGGUACAACUAAAUAUUUAUAGCAAAACACUUACUAAAAAGCUCUGUACAGUAAAUAAUUACCAUAUUGCUUUAGUCAGGACUUCUCUGAUGCAGGCCAGGCAGGGCCCAUUCCUGUUGGUAUUUCUGGAUGGAAAGAAGCCAUUACACGUAUCUCAGUUGCGUGCUCCAGGGUUGUCGGGGAGGAUAAAGCACCUGGGAGAUGCCUGCAACUUCUUCUGCCACCACCACAAAUGCUUGAAUGCAGGACAGACUGGAAAGCUGUGGCAGCGGCUGUUUCCCAGGACAUCCCAUGGUCUGCAUGAAGACACACACUCAAACCCAGCCAGGCACCAUGUCCCACGUAGCACCAUGCUGCUCUCUCCCAGCAGUGGCCAAGAGACCUUCCAUCCAAGACCUUCUUGGGUCUGGAUCUCCAAAAGAAAUAGAUGUUGGGCUGAGGAUUUUAUGGGAAACAAAAGAAGAGAGGGGAAACAGCUUCUCUGA
rnacentral:lncRNA from 1 species